AGUGAACGCUGGCGGUAGGCCUAACACAUGCAAGUCGAACGGCAGCACAGUAAGAGCUUGCUCUUACGGGUGGCGAGUGGCGGACGGGUGAGGAAUACAUCGGAAUCUACUUUUUCGUGGGGGAUAACGUAGGGAAACUUACGCUAAUACCGCAUACGACCUACGGGUGAAAGCAGGGGAUCUUCGGACCUUGCGCGAUUGAAUGAGCCGAUGUCGGAUUAGCUAGUUGGCGGGGUAAAGGCCAACCAGGGCGACGAUCGGUAGCUGGUCUGAGAGGAUGAUCAGCCACACUGGAACUGAGACACGGUCCAGACUCCUACGGGAGGCAGCAGUGGGGAAUAUUGGACAAUGGGCGCAAGCCUGAUCCAGCCAUACCGCGUGGGUGAAGAAGGCCUUCGGGUUGUAAAGCCCUUUUGUUGGGAAAGAAAAGCAGCAGGUUAAUACCCCGCUGUUCUGACGGUACCCAAAGAAUAAGCACCGGCUAACUUCGUG
rnacentral:rRNA from 1 species